AGUCAGCCCCCCAGUCAGCCCCAACCAGCCCCCCAGUCAGCCCCAACCAGCCACCCAGUUUGCCCAAACCAACCACCUCAGCCUCAACCAACCACCCAGCUCAACCUAGUCAGCCUCAACCAGCCGGCGCCACCUCAGACCCAACUAGCCCUCCCAGCUCUGGAGAGACCAUAAUGACUGUACUAGGGGUUACGGCUCCUUCCCCUACCCCCCCUUCCUCCCUCUCCUGGUCCAGCUCACAGCGCCCCCAGGUGGCGGGAGUACGAUUUGCUCUCCCGGCCACCUGGCAGGCAGAAGGGACUGCAGCACUGAAAGAGUACUGAGCUUCCAGACGAGAGGUUCUCAUAUAAAACUUCAAAAUCAAAAGUGAAGAGAAUGCCAAAAUCUUUAUUUUUAUGCAUUAAGGUAUAUUUUAAAUAGCUAUGGAAAUCUAACAGAAGAGUUGUAUGUAAUCUUUGCCAGAGGCUAGCUAGCUACAAUGAGAAUGAGUGGGAUUGUGUAACGUGUAUACAAGCAAUUAUAUUAUACAUAACAGUAUACACAGCAACAUAGCUCACGGCAGUUGUCUGAUUUCUAUGACGAUGUAAAGAGGAAAAAAAUGUGUGUUUGAAUGGACAGCUGUUUUAUUUUAUUUUUUUAAGAAUUCUGUCUUAUUGUCGUUGACUGGCUUGGAUGUACAUCUCACUGUAAAUAAUCAAUCUUCAUUGCAGCAACAAUUAAUGUGGAGCCAGUGGGCAGAAGUAGUGGUGGUGAUCGUAGAGUAUCCAAAGGUGUAUUUACUAGGAACCAAACGGAAUGGAAACUGGGUGGGACCUACCUGAAUUUGUCCAAUAGAAACUCAUUUUUCGAUUUGCAAAACCUUAUUUUUUUUUCUCGUUUUGAAGCAAACGUUUGGUACGAUGUUCCACUAAAUAAAUACACCCCAGGUUACCUCUGCGUACUACAGCUCUGCUCUCUCAAGUCUCCUUACUACAAUAGUACUUGUCUAGUACUCGAUAGGACUCAAUAGUACUUGUUAGUACUCAAUGGUCCUUGUUAGUACUCGUGAGUACUUGUUAGUACUCAAUAGUACUUAUGAGUACUCAAUGGUACUUGUUAGUACUCGAUAGCCCUUGUUAGUUCUCGAUAGUACUCGUGAGUACUUAACUACAUUUGACUUCCUCUUGUCUUACUUCUUCAUUGUCAUUUGUUUUAUUUUUCUGGUAAUAUUUGUUAUUUUAUAUUUUAACACUUUGGACAGUGUCAUCUCCUAAUUUUUCUCCUUAAAUUAUAUUUUUCAAUGAAAAUGAUUGAUUGACAGAUCUCCCAUUUAUUUUAUUUUAUUUGCACAAACAUUGUAGUAGUUGAUCAUUUGACCACAGUGAUGAAUGAUGGACCACAGGUCAUGGCGUUGUAAAAUUCCAGUAAUUUUCCCUAAAUCUCCCAGUUUCCAGAAAUCCUGGUUGGAAAACUCUUGGAAUUUGUAAAGGUAAUAAACAGGAAGUCCAGGAAUCCUCCUUCCAGCCUUAUCUGUGACAAAAGGAUAGGACAGGGUUGUCCUGAACUUUUUAAUGGAACUGUAGUUCUGAAUCCAACGGUUUGCAGUAGAACGAGACCGAGAGAUUGAUCUGUUUGUGUGUCACAAAUGGAAAUCCCUAUUCUAUCUAUACUGUAGCUGUACUACCAGGGCUCUGGUUAAAAGCAGUGCACUGUAUAGGGAAUACAAUGUCUCUCACUUUCAUCUGCCACACUUUAUUUUUUUAUUUUAUUUUUAUCAAGCCUGUGAAUAUGAUCUGUUAUCUGAUCAAGUUUUUAUUUUCCAUUUUGUAAUUAUUUCAUUGUUUUAUUCCAAUUCUUUCCAGAACAAUUUAAGCUAAAAAGAUUUGAAUAAAUUGAUGGUGGUGGAAACAAACAA
rnacentral:lncRNA from 1 species